rnacentral:rRNA from 1 species
UACGUAGGGUGCAAGCGUUAAUCGGAAUUACUGGGCGUAAAGCGUGCGCAGGCGGUUUUGUAAGUCUGACGUGAAAUCCCCGGGCUCAACCUGGGAAUUGCGUUGGAGACUGCAAGGCUAGAAUCUGGCAGAGGGGGGUAGAAUUCCACGUGUAGCAGUGAAAUGCGUAGAGAUGUGGAGGAACACCGAUGGCGAAGGCAGCCCCCUGGGUCAAGAUUGACGCUCAAGCACGAAAGCGUGGGGAGCAAACAGG